UUGCUGUGAUGAUUAUUUUCCUUCCAUUCGCAGUUUCCACCAGAGGUCACAUGACCAAAGAUGGCCAAAAAUCUUCCUUGGAUGUCUGAGCGA